UCGAGAAUUUUUCACAAUGGGCGAAAGCCUGAUGGAGCGACGCCGCGUGGGGGAUGAAUGGCUUCGGCCCGUAAACCCCUGUCAUUUGCGACCAAACCUUGCCCGCUAAUACCGGGCGAGCUGAUUGUAGCGAAAGAGGAAGGGACGGCUAACUCUGUGCCAGCAGCCGCGGUAAUACAGAGGUCCCAAGCGUUGUUCGGAUUCACUGGGCGUAAAGGGUGCGUAGGUGGUCGGGUAAGUCUGAUGUGAAAUCUCCGAGCUCAACUCGGAAAUGGCAUUGGAUACUAUUCGGCUAGAGGGUUGGAGGGGGGACUGGAAUUCUCGGUGUAGCAGUGAAAUGCGUAGAUAUCGAGAGGAACACCAGUGGCGAAGGCGAGUCCCUGGACAACUCCUGACACUGAGGCACGAAAGCUAGGGGAGCAAACAG
rnacentral:rRNA from 1 species